AGGGGGCAAGCGUUAUCCGGAUUUACUGGGUGUAAAGGGAGCGUAGACGGACAUGCAAGGCUGAAGUGAAAGGCAGGGGCUCAACCCCUGGACUGCUUUGGAAACUGUGUAUCUAGAGUGCCGGAGAGGUAAGCGGAAUUCCUAGUGUAGCGGUGAAAUGCGUAGAUAUUAGGAGGAACACCAGUGGCGAAGGCGGCUUACUGGACGGUAACUGACGUUGAGGCUCGAAAGCGUGGGGGGCAAA
rnacentral:rRNA from 1 species